rnacentral:rRNA from 1 species
AUACGGAGGAUACGAGCGUUAUCCGGAUUUAUUGGGUUUAAAGGGAGCGCAGGCGGAGAUGCAAGCGUGACGUCAAAUUUCGGGGCUCAACCCCGUCUCGCGUCGCGAACUGCGUCCCUUGGUUGCGGGAAGGGGAGGCGGAACUCGUGGUGUAGCGGUGAAAUGCAUAGAUAUCGCGAAGAACUCCGAUCGCGAAGGCAGCCUUCCGGCCCGUCAACUACGGUCAAGCUCGAAGGUGAGGGUAUCAAACAGGAUUAGAUACCCUGGUAGUCCGCACAGUAAACGAUGGACACCCGCGGUUUGGCCUAUAUGGCUGAGCCGCCAAGCGAAAGCGUUAAGUAUCCCACAUGGGGAGUACGCCGGCAACGGUGAAACUCAAAUGAAUUGACGGGG